rnacentral:rRNA from 1 species
AAUGAACGUUGGCGGCGUGGAUUAGGCAUGCAAGUCGUACGGGCGUAGCAAUACGUCAGUGGCGAAAGGGAUAGUAAUACAUAGAUCAUCUGCCCCCCGGCCAGGGAUAGCUACGGGAAACUGUAGGUAAUACCCGAUGAUUUCUCCGGAACAAAGGUGCGAUUCCGCCGGGGGAUGAGUCUAUGUCCUAUUAGCUUGUUGGCGAGGUAAUGGCUCACCAAGGCUAUGAUGGGUACGAGGCGUGAGAGCGUGUCCUCGAUCACUGGGACUGAGACACUGCCCAGACACCUACGGGUGGCUGCAGUCGAGAAUCUUCGGCAAUGGACGAAAGUCUGACCGAGCGACGCCGCGUGUGGGAUGAAGGUCUUCGGAUUGUAAACCACUGUAAGUUGGGAGGAAGUGCAUGGGGGUUCUCCCCUGUGUUUGACCUAUCUUCAAAGUAAGGACGGGCUAAGUUCGUGCCAGCAGCCGCCGUAA